GGUGGGUUGGCAGAGUGGUUGAAUGCACCGGUCUUGAAAACCGGAAUGCCUGUAAAGGCAUCGCAGGUUCGAAUCCUGCACCCACCG
rnacentral:tRNA from 6 species